UUCAAUUUUAUUGCAUGAUGAUUUAUUUACUACUGAUGAUUGAUUGUGGAUGAUGAUUGAGAAUCUGUGUGUGCUGAUAUCCAGAUGAAUGGUUCACUAUUUAUGUGAACAGAUGAGUAAGUGAUUUAUGAUUGUGAUUGUGAUGCUAAGCAGGAUUCAUGAAUUAGAAGUGAACAAACAUGAUUGUGUGAGGUAUUGAGCUUCAGAGUUUUUAUUGAUGUGUUCACUGUUCAAAGGGAAUCAUGAUAAUCUUAAUAAUUGAUUGAAUUGCAUGUUUAUGUCAUAUGAUCAAGGCCGUGCUUGGAAACCCUUACUAAAUUUUCACCCAAAGUGUUAAAAUGAUAUACCCUUUUUGAACCUUGGCCUUAAACAGUAUGAAAACCCUUGUUUGAAUUGAAUUACUUUGAGUUAGGUUGAGAAUAAUUGUAUGUGUUGAAAAGGUUCAAGUUUGGGGUUGUAUGGAGAAAGUGAAAGGCAAAAGAAAAAGAAAAACAUUUAGUUCAAAAGUUAAAAAAAGAAAAAUGCAUGAGAAAAAAAAAGAAAAGAAGAAAAGAGAAAAAGCAUGCAAAGUGAACUCAAUGCAAAAAGGAAAAAGGGAAGAAGUUGAGAAUGAGUGAGAUUGGUUAAAAAGGGAGUGUGCUUGAACUUUGAAUAAUAAUUUAAACUCUCUUAACUCAAGGAUUUUGUAUUCCAGAAAAAAAACCAAUUUUUCUUGAUAGCUCAGCCUCAUUACAAGCCUUGGAAAAAGUCCUUGUGAUGGCAUUGCCAUGUGAAGAUUUUGAUUGUUUUAGAUGAAUGAAAAUAUUGUUUUAUGUGACAUGUGAACAGUAGAGAGUAGAGUGAC
rnacentral:lncRNA from 1 species